AUUGAACGCUGGCGGCAGGCUUAACACAUGCAAGUCGAACGAGUGGCGGACGGGUGAGUAAUGCUUGGGAAUCUAGCUUCUGGAGGGGGAUAACUCCGGGAAACUGUAGCUAAUACCGCGUACCAUAGGAUGAGCCCAAGUGGGAUUAGGUAGUUGGUGAGGUAAAGGCUCACCAAGCCGACGAUCUCUAGCUGGUCUUAGCGGAUGACCAGCCACACUGGGACUGAGACACGGGCCAGACUCCUACGUGAGGCAGCAGUGGGGAAUAUUGCGCAAUGGGGGCAACCUGACGCAGCCAUGCCGCGUGAAGUAAGAAGGCCUUCGGGUUGUAAAGUUCUUUCGGUAGCGAGGCGUUAACUACAGAAGAAGCACCGGCUAACUCCGUGCCAGCAGCCGCGGUAAUAC
rnacentral:rRNA from 1 species